rnacentral:sRNA from 1 species
CCUCCCUGCCUCUCUUUUUCUCUCUCAGGUUACUUUCUCUUUCUGUCUUCCUUUUUAAUGCCAUGGAGUACUAUAUUCUUCAAAGUUGCAACAAAGAUGCACUACAUUUGGACAAUGUGGAAAUGGCCCUCAGCCUUCUCUUCCUGAUGUGCCAAUUCCACUGAUCCUGUGAAGGCUGCCCAAUUUGAGCCACCUGGACGUCAAAUGAUUGCCAUCAGAAAGAGACAACUUGAAGAAACCAACAAUGACUAUGAAACAGCUGAUGGCGGCUACAUGACUCUCAACCCCAGGGCACCUACUGACGAUGAUAAAAACAUCUACCUGACUCUUCCUCCCAAUGACCAUGUCAACAGUAAUAAUUAAAGAGUAAUGUUAUGCCAUGUGGUCACACUCUCAGCUUGCUGAGUGGAUGACAAAAAGAGGGGAAUUGUUAAAGGAAAAUUUAAAUGGAGACUGGAAAAAUUCCUGAGCAAACAAAACCACCUGGCUCUUAGAAAUAGCUUUAACUUUGCUUAAACUACAAACACAAGCAAAACUUCACUGGGGUCAUACUACAUACAAGCACAAGCAAAACUUAACUUGGAUCGUUUCUGGUAAAUUCUUAUGUUAGAAAUAAGACAACCCCAGCCAAUCAUAGGCAGCCUACUAACAUAUAAUUAUGUGACUAGGGACUUUCUAACAAGAUACCUACCCCCAAAAAACAAUUAUGUAAUUGAAAACCAAUCAAUUGUCUUUAUUUUGCUUCCACAUUUUCCCAAUAAAUACUUGCCUAUGACAUUUUGCCACUGGAACACUAAACUUCAUGAA